GACGAACGCUGGCGGCGUGCUUAACACAUGCAAGUCGAACGGAAAGGCCCUGCUUGCAGGGUACUCGAGUGGCGAACGGGUGAGUAACACGUGGGUGAUCUGCCCUGCACUUCGGGAUAAGCCUGGGAAACUGGGUCUAAUACCGGAUAGGAGCCAUUUUUAGUGUGAUGGUUGGAAAGUUUUUUCGGUGUAGGAUGAGCUCGCGGCCUAUCAGCUUGUUGGUGGGGUAAUGGCCUACCAAGGCGGCGACGGGUAGCCGGCCUGAGAGGGUGGACGGCCACAUUGGGACUGAGAUACGGCCCAGACUCCUACGGGAGGCAGCAGUGGGGAAUAUUGCACAAUGUGCGCAAGCCUGAUGCAGCGACGCCGCGUGGGGGAUGACGGCCUUCGGGUUGUAAACUCCUUUCGCUAGGGACGAAGCUUUUUGUGACGGUACCUAGAUAAGAAGCACCGGCUAACUACGUG
rnacentral:rRNA from 1 species